rnacentral:rRNA from 1 species
AGAUUGAACGCUGGCGGCAUGCCUAACACAUGCAAGUCGAACGGCAGCGCGGGUAGCAAUACCUGGCGGCGAGUGGCGGACGGGUGAGGAAUACAUAGGAAUCUACCCUGUCGUGGGGGAUAACGUAGGGAAACUUACGCUAAUACCGCAUACGACCGAGAGGUGAAAGCGGCGGACCGCAAGGCGUCGCGCGGCUGGAUGAGCCUAUGCCGAUUAGCUAGUUGGCGGGUAAGAGCCCACCAAGGCGACGAUCGGUAGC